GCAUAAGCAGGGCCAGGAAGAGGAUCAUUAACAGGAAGGUGGAACACUCACAGGAACAGAAUCUAGGACUUCCCAGGAAGGCAUUAUUAGCCUCCUUUCCUGCAGACAUUGUGGUGCAUCUUGGGAAGAGAAACUCAAAUUAGCUACCAAAAGUGAAUCUGGAGGCUUCCCAUUAACGAGCCUUUGCACAAGGGAAUCUGUCACAACAUGGCGCAGAACACUGAGUAUGUCACGCCAGGCUCUGUCCUCCAGUGCUGGUUGGUGUCACAAGGAAGUCCCAACAGUUCUUGGAAAUGACUUGGUGAGGAGAAUCUUUCUGUAGACUCUGCUGUUUUUUCCAUGCACCCUUUAUGGCCUUUGGUUGAGUGGGGCCUGAACUUAACCCACAGACCCAUUAGGGGCAGUCUUAAAGCAAAUUACAGUAACUAUGUCAACCAUGAAACAGACGAAAACACCCCCAAAUAAUGCCCCUUUCCCUUCCUCACUCAGGAAGGCUCAGUGAGCAAGCCCCGGGAACAAGAACCUACUGAGGGAAGAUGAAGGACUGACUAGGAGCCACUCUGACAGGCCUGGGAAGGGAAGGAAGGAGUUACAAUAGCCACUGAGCAAACCAACCAGCCUUCUCCGAAAAUAUCAACUCCAAGUUUAACUUGCAUUUGUCAGUCAGUUUCCUUGUCAGUUCCUUCUUCCCUUUUUUUUUAGUAGCACAUUGGAAGAGAAUGAAAGUAGGGUCUCUACUUUUCAAAGCAAAGUAAACCAAGCACCAAAAAAGAUGUUAUUUAGGAUAUGUCUAUUACAAACUUGGCUCUCCCAAACUGAUCCAGUCUUUUCAAGAUCCUGGAUUAAAAUCUCUUAGGUCCUUCUCCUGAUAUGGUAGCUGACAUUAACUUCCGAGACUUGGCUAGGGAUGUCAGAGGUCAUUUCUUUUGCAGGGAUGGGCAUGUAUCUGGGUGUUUAUUUCUCUAACUAGAGGUUCCUUUGCAGAUAUUGGACUGCUGUCUCUGAUGAAGUUCCAGUGCCCCCUGAGGGCUUCUAAGUGUAAUAAAAGCAAACGAAAAAGCGGCUUCAUAUGAAAUAAUUCACUAUGCAGGAACAAAGCUGAAUAUGGGACUCAAAGGAUCUCUGAAGUAAAGAUUAACUGCCAGUCAUCAGGAAACCUAAAGUCAUUUGAAAUAAGAGGUGCCACAAGCCAAAAGAUAGAAGUCAUAAACACAUACAAUAUUAAUAAAGCAAUUACAGAAAUAUUAUACUGAGGGGAAACUAUAUCUCAUGAUGGAAGAAAUAUAGGAAUCACCCCCGUUGAAUCCGUGAGGGAGAUGAAGCUGCAGUUCUGUGCUCCCAGACGCGCCCAGCAGAUGGCACCUUCCCCUUGGAGACCUAAGUUUUCACACUAUCUGGUGAGACCUGCAAUUUUCUUUGAAUCAUUGUAAUUCAGUAGACAAAAAAUGUCUUAAUUUUGCAGCUCUUAUCACUUCGAAUUUGGAAAGAUAAAGAACAGUGUGCUAAAAUCCAGAUAUUUUGUGCACUGAAAAUUGAGGUGAGGUUGGGAUAAAGUACAUAGGAAUGUCUGGGAAGGGAUGGCAGUCGGAUUCCUUUCUUCAAAAUGCAUCACUGCUGGUGCUGGGAAAAGUGGACAGCUACAUGUCAAUGAAGAAAUUAGAAUACUCCCGAACACCAUACACAAAAAUAAACUCAAAAUGGAUUAAAGACCUAAAUGUAAGGCUGGACACUAUAAAACUCUUCGAGGGAAACAUAGGCAGAACUCUCUUCGAC